rnacentral:lncRNA from 1 species
ACUAACUUCUCUCUCCACACCUGACUUGGUGCUACGGUCUCCUGUUCAAGCUGUAUAUCCUCAGACCUUAUAACCUCUCCUUCAUAGUCUGCCCAUCCAUCCUUGAUGAUUUGCUUCCUAUGGUUGCGGUUGCGUCGCCUUCUUCUUGUCCUAACCUGCUUAGAAUCUUCAACUAUAUAGUUAGGGUCAUUAAAGUAACGGCGUACCUUCUUAGAGGGGAAGUGCAUGUGGACUUCUUCGGUUCCAUUGUAGAUGAUCGCUUUGACAGUGCUAAGUUACGGUAUUCUAAGGAUGAUGGGUGGGUCGUACUCAUCUUCUCCCAUGUCAAUGACCUGAAAAUCUGUAUGGACAAAAUUGUCUUUUAUUUUGACAAGGACAUCAGUUACUAUACCUUCAACCUUUCGAAAUGUCUGGUCUACCAUCUGGAGCUGAAUGUAUGUUGGUUGAAGGGGCAUGGUUCCAUACACGAGCUGAUAGGUGACCGCGGCCAUUAUGUUGACGCCUGAUCUGGUGUCGCAGAGUGUCUUCUAAAAGGAGUAUCCAUUGAUUGAGCACUCGAUGCUUGGCACACCUGGGUCAUCCUUCUUGAUCAGGAAAGGCGACUUGAGUCGACGAUCUUGACCUCCGUGAACUGCAGUGACCAUCUUAGCUGAUUCGGUCCACACUUGCUGUUUGCUCUUGUUCCUCUUGUUGGUCCUCUUCCUUGGUUCAUAUUGGGGUUGUUCUGAGAUUUGUGCAGUCUUGUUCUUGAAGGAAAACGUCUCCUUCCUCCCCUUGAUGUUAAAGUUCAUCUUCGCAGCAUUAGCGUAGAUGAUAGCUCCCGAGAUGUUCAGGAAUGGCCUCCCCAGGAUGAUGGGUGACCUUUCAUCAGCAUCGGUCUCUAUCACCAUGAAGUCUGCUAGGACAUACGAGAUACCAACUUGGACAUAGAUGUUCUUCAAUAUUCCUUUUGGGAAGCUCAGUGUCCGAUCUGCAAGCUGUAAACACAUGGCUGUUUAUAAUAAAGGAUGUGUAAAGAAUUUUUCAUAGAGUACCCUGGGCAUAAUGUUGACGCUGGAGCCAAAGUCGCAGAGUGCUUCUGGGAAGUCCACCAUACCGAUGGAGAUCGGGAUGACGGGGCGUCCUGGAUCUCCUCUCUUGACUGGCAGAAGGUCAUUAUGUACUUCCACAAUGGGGUUACUCUAGUAGUUACCUGCAUCAAACAUGUCUACGAGAUUUGCAGAUUCUAAUCUUUCCGGUUGUGAUGGUAUACCGGGGUUAGUAGCGGGAACAACAGCAGCUAUUUGAUUCAACUGAGAUUCAAUCAUUUUAUUAAAGCUAAUCUGGUUCUUGAUGGCAGUAGAAAAAUUAUCCAUUCUAUUAUUUAUAUUUUUUAGCAUUUUAUCAUUUGAUGCCAAUUUCUUAUAUAGGUUAUCCAUUAGCUUUCUUUGAUUAGACACUAACUCUCUCAAAGGUGGAACAUUAUUAUUAUUAUUGUAAGAAUUAUUACCUUGAUAAUUACCUGAGUAGUUACCUAAGUAGUUAGGCCUUUGUUGAUUCCAAUCUUGAUUUUGUUGAGGACGGUUGUAGUAGUAGUAGUUGUUGUUGAUGUAGUUCACGUCCUCAUGCACCUCAGGGCAGUGAUUGCCUGAGUGUCUAGUAUCUCCACACUCCUCACAAGUCAUGUGAGAGUCAUAGACGUGCAUGACUUCUUUCUUGUCUCUAGCUUUAUCAUCGGGCUUCUUCAUGAGCAGUUCCAGCUUUGCAGACAAUAUAUCUACCUCCUUGAGCUGGUGCAUACCUCUACCCUUCUUGCGUGUUUGGGUCCUCUCUUCAUUCCAACCUUGGUUGGACGCCAUCUUCUCCACAAGAGCUGUGGCUUGUGGUAUGGUGAGUGAUAGGAAUGUUCCUCCAGCUGCAGCAUCCAUGGUUUUACGGGCGCUAUUGCCAAGCCCAUGAUAGAACGUCUGCAUCAGCAGCCAGCUCUCCAUUCCAUGAUGGGGACAUUCUAGGAUGUAGUCUUGGAAGCGCUCCCAUGCCUUUGGAACAGAUUCAUCAUGUUGUUGCUGAAAACUUGUAAUCUUCCCACGGAGAGCAUUGGUCUUGCCCAUGGGAAAUAACUUGGCCAGAAAGUUCGUGGAGCAGAGUGCCCAAGUAGUAUUCUUCUCAUUCGUUGUGUAGAACCACUGCUUCGCUCUUCCCAAUAGUGAGAAUGGGAAGCGGCAAAGUAGUAUGGCAUCUCUAGGGACUUCUGACAUGGUAAAUGUGCUGCAAAUCUCCAGGAAGUGUUGGAGAUGAGCACUAGAAUCUUUGUGCGCCUUCCCAUAGAACUGGUUGGCUUGCACCAUGUUGAUGAGCCCAGGCUUGAGCUCAAAGUUCCGGUCAAUCUCCAUAGCAGGUCCAGUGUGGAUGUUGUCCAUGGUGGGAGCUGAGAACUCACGGAUCGACUUAUUCGCCAUGGCUUCAAACUCUGAAGACAAGUUCCGGAUGAAACUUCGGUGAUCUUCUGGAUUGGAUGAAGCUUUGUGCUGAAGUGUUGACAAUGUCUUCUUGAGCUUGGCUCUUGUUUUUCUGAUUAACGCUUCGGGGUCGUCAACAAAUUUUUUUGGAAAAUGUCUUCUAUUCAUACAUCACCCUGCAUAAAAUAAUAAAAAUAACAAAGUAUAGGGGUAAAGCUGUAUGAGAGAAUUGAUGAUCUUAAUCAUAUUAGUGAUGCGAAUGAGGACUCAUUAUUCUGUAUUCAUUCCUUAUUAGUAAAUCAACCUUCCCCGGCAAUGGCGCUGAAAAUGCUUGUUGGGCAUUCUUAACGUCAUUACCAAAAGUAGACUUAGUUUUCUAAUUCUGAUAACGGCGCCAAAAAUGCCAAACCUAUCCCAUGCCACUUAAGCCAAGUUGUCAUCCCUAGCAUGAUAUGAGAGACGCGGUAUUGAAAUAUGCAAUUGCUCUUCUGAAUAAAUAAUAAAUGAGAUCUGCAAGCGCACAGAUUAAUACCGAUGUAGCAUUUUAACCGGGAAGUAUUCCAGAUAUCGUUAUUUAUAUUUUUACCACUAGGAAGAGAUUACUAACACCAAUGUUGAUUAUGGAAUGAAAUAUAUGGAACUGAGUAUCUAUCAUUGCAUGUGUAAUAGAGAGCAUUCAUCUAUCUCAUACAUACAGGGAUAAAUGUCACAUAAAAUAUAGAUAAAGUAUGAAUGGUGACAAAGAUAACUAAUCUGAUCAGCAUAACUAGCCACAUAUAAUAAUGAAUAGCACCUCAAUAGAUAUUCUAGCAGGUCAUUAGCAUGGAAUUAGGAUGAACUACAAGAAUAUUCCCUAAGUUAUUCUUAACUAUAAAGUCUAGCAUAUCAUAGUUAGUGCAAUUAUACUUGGCAAUCAUUGCGAGACAGGAUUACGUCCAUGCAUAGUGAUAUUAUCAAGGAAGAUGAGAAAAAUAGCAAUCACUCCCCUGCAAUAAUGUUGCUCUGCCUGCCCUAUACACGGGAGGGGGACUAUAUGAGAAUCAACGAAGCUGUCACCAUCACGAACUACCCCGCGAUCCGGCAUAUAGGGUACAAUCGCAGAUAAAUACGGUAUAGGCUCCACGCCUACAUAAUAUUUAUCAUUUACCCACUGUACACAUGGAUAAACGCUAUACGAUCCUAAAUAUGUAUAUAAUUCCAAUCUAACUAAGCCAAGCAUAUAACUAUGAUAAACUAAGAACAAUGUAAUUGAAAAUAUAAACAAGUAGAGCAAAGUCAUAAUCAAUAUAUUGAAAUAGAACAAAAUCAUAUUCAUAAUAUUGAAGAACAAUGAUGAACAAAUGAAGAACAGUAGAGGAAUUACCAAGAAUCCUCUUGACAGAUCCGUAAACCAAUCGAAGAUUGACUCCUUCUAGUUCUAAUCCUAUGUAGCUAUGCUAAACUAGAGAUCUAGUUGAUGUGGUGGCUCUAGGGCUUGAUCAGAGACUCUCCUCCUAAGGUGAAUGAAUGAAUUAGGGUUUUAGAGGUGCCUCCUCCAGGGGCCAGGGGGCCUGCUUAUAUAGCCCCUCCAAAUGAACGUGGGCCGUCGGAUCAAAUUGACCUUAAUCGCACAUUUUUCCUUAAUCCCUUAGGUUGGUGGAGCAUGAUCCGCGAGGCGGGGCCUAAUUGGCCGAGACACCUGGGCGGGCGCCCAAGGGGGGAGGGUGGGUGCCCAGUCCCCGGGCCUACUCGGCCUCCUGCUCGUUCCCGUGGCUUCUAGACUCUUCUAGAUGAUAGAAAAUCGGCGCACACAUUAAUAUUUCUAUGUAAACCCGACGUGUGGGCCUUUCCUCCAUAUUUCCUCAUACCCCCCGCAGAAAUAGACAAACACCAAAACUCGUGGAAUUCUGUCAGAUAAAACCCUAAAUCUGGGUGUUGGUUGCAUUUGGAUCCUUUUCUUUAUUUAUUUGAUGAUUAAAUUUGGUACUUAAGGACCGUCAACAAUAGCCUAUCUAAGAAGCUGGCAUCUAAUGAUAAAACUUUAGAAUCAAUUAAUAUUAGAAUGGAAAGUUUUUCUAAUGCUAUCAAGAAUCAGCUCAGCUUCAAUAUGAUGCUAGUACAACAACUUGCUCCUUUUACUACCGCCAAUGAUCAAGGUAAGAUUCUUGGACAGCUAGGGGAAUUAGAAACUGCAAAUCUUGUAGACAUCUUUAAUGUAGGAAGCUACUAGAGCGACCUUCUGAAAGGAUGUCGAAACAGCUCUAACUCAUGUCGAGGAUGAAGAAAGCUAGUUACCCGAUGCUAUCAAGGCCCUCUAGCAAGAAAGAGAUAUCCAAGUGUUAACAUUUACUACCGUCAUCACUAAAAAUAUAGAUAAACCAUACUCCUAGUAAGAACACCAAAAAUGCAUGGUAUUUAGUUAACUUGUCAGAUAACAACUCACCACUCAAACACUCCUAAGCACAAAGUAGAUUGUCAUCCCAAAUUAUAUUGCUAGGAAUUUAAUAUAGAUUCACAUGUUCUACUAUAAAGACAGAGAAUAACAAUUAUGAAUAUAAUUAUAAACUAAAUGGGUUUUGCAAGCGGAUAGAUAAUUAUACCAUUGUAGCAUUUCACCUAGGGAAGUAUCUAGGUUGUCGAUUUAUAUUUAUACCACUAGGAAUGCUAAGUGUUAAGCUAUAUCUAUUAUAUUGAUAAGAAACUAUAUAGGAUGAAUAAAUGAUAUUACCCAAGUCGUAUAGUCUAUUUCAUAAUAGGUAGAGGUCACAAGAUAAAUAUAGAUAAAUAAUAAUGAUAGCAUAAUCAUCAAGUAUCAUAAUUAAAGAUAAUCAUUAGAGCAUCUACUAGUCAUAAUCAUAGUUAGCCAACAGAUAAACUAGGGAGUUGGAUCUAAGGUAAUUCUAUAACUACACCAAUGAAUAACUCUAAUUAGUGAGAUUACAUCUAGAAAUCAUCAUUAAGUCAACAAUAUAUCAUAACUACAUGUAAAGAGGCAUCAACUAAUGAGGGUUUUAAGACGCAACCGUCACCUGCUUCGCGACCACGCCCAUGCCAGCCCUACGUACAGGGGGUGGACUAUAGAGGAAGCAACACAGCUAUCACCUACGCAGACUACCACAUGACCCGGCACAACAGGGUACACUCGCAGACAAACAAAAUAUCUAGACACCACGUCUACAUAUUGUCUAUCAUCUACUCAAUGAUCGAUUAGGUAAACGCUAUAUGAGCAAUUACAUGAAUUCAAUAAGAUCAAACCAACUAUCCUAGACAUAUAAUCAAAGUAGACAAUGACUAAUGUAAUUAACAACCUAUGAAUCUAUUAGGAAUAAAGUCUCCUUAAUAUACAAUUGAAUACUGUAAAGUAAGAACUAGAUCUAUUACCGAACUCUUGUGCUCCAAACCGAUGGCAGGGGCUCUAGAUCCUGAUGAAAAACUAGAUCUCCUCUACUUCUAAUCUAACUAACUAGAACUAUGAACUAGAAGGCUCUUGAUGAACUUGAAGGCGCUUGAUGCUUGAUGGUUUGAGGCCUUGAUGAAUAAUGAAGUGGUUGAUGAUCUCUCCAUGGGGGGUCUACCCAUGUAUAUAUAGUCUGGUGGGAUUUGCGUGCGCCAUAGGAUCAAAUCGACUUAACCAAGGGCCAAGAUUACUCCUCAAAGGCAGUGGAGGAAGCUUUUGGAAGGGGGGAGCAAACCUUAGCAAUAGGGGGUCGGCCAGCGCUAGGGUGGGACCAGCCGGCCCCACCUGGCCGACGCUGCCUCCCCCCUCGCGUCGGGUGUCUUCUAGAGUGUUCCUGAAUCCUCUCGCGACGUUUCCCAUGGCGGAUACAUUUCCGUGUUUGUUUUGCACUAGAGUCCCUCUUUUUCAGCUUUCCUAAAAUUCACCCUGUAAAAUAUAGAAUAUACAAAACUCAUGGAAAUUGUUAGUUUAAACCCUAUACUAGUGUGUAUUCAUAUUCUCCUUUAGGUUUAAAGUUAUAAUGAAGUUGACGUUAUCGACCGUCAAGAAUUCCCCCAAGCUUAGUGUUGACGGUCCUUAAGUAUCAAAUUUAAUUAUCAAAUAAACAAAGAAAAGGAUCCAAAUGAAAUCAACAUCUAGACUUAGGGUUUUAUCUAACAGAAUUCCACGAGUUUUGGUGUUUGUCUAUUUCUGCAGGGGGUUAUCAGGAAAUACGGAAGAAAGGCCCACAUGUCGGGAUUACAUUGAGAUAUUAAUGUGCCGCGCAAUGAUCUUACAUCUAGAGGACUCCAGAAGCCACGGGAAGGAAGCGGAGGCCGAACGGGGCCAGAGGCAGGGCGCCCGCCCUUCUGUCCUGGGCGCCCGCCCUGACUUGGAGCCCAAUCAGGACACUUUCUCUCAGGAGAUCUCCACCGACCUAAAGGAUCAAGAAUAACCGUUCAAUCAGUGUCGGUUUGAUCCGACGGCCCAGGUUCACUUGAGGGGACUAUAUAACCAGACCGCCUGGCCCCUAGAGGAGGCACCCCUUGAUCAUUAUUCAUUAUUCAUAGACAGAGCAAAAGCUAGGGUUUAGAGAUGAGAGCUCUCCUCUCUUCUCUAAACUAGAGUAGAUCUAGAUAGUAGCAAGAUGGAGAGCGAAGGAGGAUUGGAGGAGAGGCCGGCCUAUCGGUUCUUCCUUCGGUUGUACUUCGUCAUGAUCAAGCUCUAAUCAAGCUUCCUCAUGGGAUGACUCUGGUAAUCUACUUCUAAUUCAUUAUGCAAUUACUAAUCAUGUAUGUUCUGGUUCACAACUCUUUUGAGUACUUUAAUCUAUAGGAUGCUAUAGGUGAGAGUUGUAGUAUAGGUGUAAGCGAGGUGCUUAGAUCUAGAUUACUUGUGGAUAUCCCCUGUCUAGCAAGAUCGUGUGGUACGCCGCGUAGGUGACACUUACGUUGGUCCUCUGUAGUCCCAGACAUAGACAUACCCCUUUGAAGUAGAGAAACCAUAGUUAUUCUCUCUAUUCUGCUACCAUCGCCCAUAUACUAGAAUUGCUCUACUCUCUAUUCCCAUAUUAUCACCUAUUGUUAUCUUACCUUUAAUAUUGUUCUUAUUCUAUUCUACCAUCUUUCCUAUUUACACCUACCUAUCUAUCUUGGUUAAGUUAGAGCGUAGUUGGUUCUCCCGUUUCCCUGUGGAUAUGAUAAAACCUUUAACCGGGUAAAAAGCUUCAACGGUAUCCAUGCGCUUGCGGAUUAUCUGUGUGUGUAUAAAUACCAUAGUACACUCUAGUGCCAUGCUGGGGAUGACAACCUAGUAUUCAAGUGGUGUUAGCAAGUGUCAACAAGCAUUUUUGGCGCUGUUGCCGGGGAAACGGUUGCUGAGUUGACUUUGAACUAGCUUAAUCAUUUACUAAAAAAUAAAAAAAAUAUAUAUUUUCCUUUUAUCCUUUACUUCAUCUCUGCUAAUCUUUCUUCUUAUCAAAUCCUUGAUCUCUGGUCUAUCAUGAAUUCAAACAUAUCUAUCUAUGAAUUUCAUAGACCUACGGGCACACAUCUCGAACCACCAAAAUCUUCAAAGCCUAUCAUAGCAUCUAGUUUUGAGAUAGACCCCGAAUACAUAGAAUUUGUUCAAAAACAACCUUUCUCAGGAGAAGGUAAGGAAAACUCAUACACACACCUAAGAGAAUUUUAUCGAGUCUGUGACCUCCUUCGCAUAAAAAGGAAUGUCCGAUGAGACCCUUAAAUGGAAGCUCUUUCCGUUUUCUUUAACGGGAAAAGCUAGACAUUGGUACAAACUCAAAGUAGGGAGUGUUCAUGGAGAUUGGAAGGAGUUACAUAAUAGUUUUCUUUUAAAAUAUUUUCCAAUCUCUAAAGUGGCGGAACUUCGGCGUGAGAUUAUUUCUUUUAGACAACUAGAAGAACAAUCUCUUGGCAAAUCAUGGGACCGCUUUAUUAACCUUACUCUCACUGGCCCAAAGCUUUCUAUUCCAGAAGAAGUUCUUCUAAUUCACUUUUUUGAGGGCCUUAGUAGGGAAGAUAAGCAAACCCUUCAUGCGGCCUCUGGAGGAUCUUUCCACCACCUGUCCACUAGUGAAGCUUGGAAUUUGAUUGAUUUAAUGAGCGGAAAGUCUCCUAGCUUUUAUAUCCCUGAGAAAGAGACAGAACCAGUUCCUAGACAAGAAGAAGUUUCAAUAGCCAGAUCACAACCACUUCAAUCCCAAACUUUAGCUAUCGAUCCUAAACCAUCAAUACACCAAAAUUCUCCAAGGGAGGAAGGAAUUCCGACUUUAAAUCUUUCAGAUACUAAUGGUUUAGACUUCUGGUUCCAUAAGAGAGCUUCAAGUAGGGAUAAUUCAAAUCCUUGCAAUAAUGGUUCUCUUAGAGAAUGUCCUAGUUCCUAUUAUGAAGAAGUCGAGGAUGACAUAUCAAGUGAAGGAGAGCUAAACCAUAUAGAAAAUUAUAUCUGCUCCCCUUCCAUGUUCACAAGUUCUAAAUCCAUCCUUGACCGUAGAGAUCCCUCUUAUCCCUCUUCUUUUCAGUCUCAUGAUGAUCCUAGCAAUUCACCAAGACCGAACCAUAGGAGUCAUGAAGACCAUAAGGAUGGCAUGUCAAGUAAUGCCAUAGAAGGAGAGCUAAGCCAUAGAGAAGAUUCUAUCAGCUCCCCUGUCUUGAUCACAAGUUCUAAAUGGCUAGAAUAUGUAGAAUGGAUGGACAAGGAAGAAGCCCUAAUGGAUUCUGACUUUGGCUCAAUUUCAAAUGGUGAGUUCUUGACUCCCUUUGAAGAUGAGAUUCAUCCAACUAUAGAAGAGGACAUAAGUGAGACCAAUCUAGGAGAAACUCUGAACAUUCAGAUUGGACACGAAGAUAACAUUAAUGAGCAUGGAAUUUAUUUCAUAGCCACUUCGUUUACUCCAUGCUCAUAUGCAACAUCUUCCCAAUCUAUUGGUCUCUCCAACAUCACCACACUUGAGAUCUCCAACCCCCUCUUCCUUUCUAUUUAUAAAAUCUUUAAAAGGGCGGUUGUCGAUGCAUAUGUCUAUAAUAAAUAUUGUAGACCUCGUUGAGCUAAUCUUGAUAUAGGUCAGCGUUGGAAGGGAAACCACUUUGCCGACAUAAAUUGAUGGUUUCCCAAGGACAAGCUUAGUGUCCUAAAAUAAGCAUUGAUCAGAUCGUAACAUGAGCUUUUAAUUAUUUACAACAUUACCUGGUGUAUUGAGCAUAUAAGGAUAAUUGUAAAAAUAUUCCUUUGGGUAUUCUUGUCACUAACCUUUUUAGGAUUGGAGCAAGAAGAUCGGAUGAAUGACGAGCAUAAGGUAUGUCCAACCAAUCAUCAUACAACAUUGAAUUUAAUUCAUCCAAACUUGAAUUUUGCAAAAUUCAAGCUUGGGGGAGUACUUUACAUCCUUUGCCAUGUUGCUAUGUUGGUUGUCCCUACCUUUGAGACAUGCUCAAUUUGUUAAAUACUAAUCACACUACUCUAUCUCCACUUGAGUAGAUCUCUAUAAAUGCUUUCAUGCUACCUUUGUCUAUUUUCUAGCAAGUGUUGGUUUGGAAGUACUCGACAUACUUCCAUUGGCAUUUAAAUUGAGCAUGGUGCUUAGGUUAAAUAGCCUUCCUUAAUCUGAUUAGACAUGGAGUCUAGUUCGGUUAUUGAACUAAAAACUGCUUGUGUAGACAUUGGUAUAUUUUUGUCGGACUAACCCCUGCAGAAAAACUUUCAAUAUCGAUUUGGGAAGUCCUGAGAUAAACUCACAUCAGAGACAAAGAGAGUGACACAUGAAGUUUAACAAUUUGCACAAGAAGGACAUAGCUCAUUCAUCAUAGAGAGAUGAUCCAUGGAGGGUGCCACAAACACGAUGCAUAACCGCUAAGAAAGGAAAACUUCCACAAAGUGAUACUGUACCAUCACUCUUCAAGCAAGGUAAUAUCUUUAGGUACUUGACUAUCACUUUUAUAAGCUUCUCCUUGGUUCCGGCGUUCAUAUAAAUAAAAGUGAUAAACAUGUGUGAUUUACAACUCUAGAUUAACCAACCCAACUGAUUCAACAUGUUUAGUCCUUUAAUCCUUGUUCUUAGUACUACCUCCAUGAUCCCACACUCCUAAUCAUAUGAGCUAAAAUGUUACACAUUCAAUCAUUGAGAGAUAUAAAGAAAAAGACAUAUACAUAGAUAGAUUAUCUUUCCAUAAGGUUGAGCGAUCUGAUGUGACAAAUGUUAUAAGUGCUACACUCAUGAACUUUUCAUCCAUCAACUUUGUCUUUCUCACUAUGCUUAGGGUUAGAGAAGAACAAAUACACUUUAGGUUCUAUUGGUGUUUUCCACCAACAGGACCCAUGCACUUUGUAACAGAACCGACCAAAUUAUAAGAGAUUAAGCCUAACGGAGACCAUUUGCAUAGUCAACCCAUCAGGCUUAAGCCCAUAUAAUCCCGGUAGUCCAUGAAAUCUCGAAGGAUUUCAAACCACACAUCGCACAACAGCCAAGAUCGUAAUAAGUUUAGCGGUCACCAUCCACAAAUACAUCCAGAUUACAACAUUCAUAAAAUACAUCGGAGUUCUUAAAAUUAUUACAAACCAAGUUCUUCAAGUAGCGGAAGCUUCAUAGUUCGAAAAUACAACACACACACUUAGUCUAAUACAGUGCCAUAGUUCGGUCAUUCCCACAAAAGCAAAAGAGGAGACGGAGUGACCAUCGCCCUUGGUCUAGUCAUCACCCAUGGCUGGGUACAGACAGAGGAUGCAAUAACCAUAGUACAUUUGACCAUCUGCAAAACAACA